GCCUGCAACAUGACAGUGAAGAGUUGUCUUAAUGGUUAUAAAUAUUAUCACACGAUGUCACUUAGAAAGUAAAUCUUCAGCUAAAGGCCUGCAACAUGACUGUGAGGAGUUGUCUUAAUGGCCUUUCUAUGGAAGAGUAGUGAAUGUUGAAGAGGUUAGCUUCACUGAAUUACUUAUUUUACUCACGUCAGCUGAAGGUGUUACUCCAAAUGCACUGUAGGUGUAUUUAUAAGGUGUCGGUUGAAGGUGUUACUCCGAAUGCACUGUAGGUGUAUUUAUAAGGUGUCGGUUGAAGGUGUUACUCCAAAUGCACUGUAGGUGUAUUUAUAAGGUGUCGGUUGAAGGUGUUACUCCAAAUGCACUGUAGGUGUAUUUAUAAGGUGUCGGUUGAAGGUGUUACUCCAAAUGCACUGUAGGUGUAUUUAUAAGGUGUCGGUUGAAGGUGUUACUCCGAAUGCACUGUAGGUGUAUUUAUAAGGUGUUGUUUAUUAAAGAUAAAAUA